rnacentral:rRNA from 1 species
CCUACGGGAGGCUGCAGUGGGGAAUAUUGGACAAUGGGCGAAAGCCUGAUCCAGCCAUGCCGCGUGUGUGAAGAAGGCCUUCGGGUUGUAAAGCACUUUCAGUGGGGAAGAAAGCCUUGGGGCUAAUACCCUCGAGGAAGGACAUCACCCACAGAAGAAGCACCGGCUAACUCCGUGCCAGCAGCCGCGGUAAUACGGAGGGUGCGAGCGUUAAUCGGAAUUACUGGGCGUAAAGCGCGCGUAGGCGGUCUGAUAAGCCGGUUGUGAAAGCCCCGGGCUCAACCUGGGAACGGCAUCCGGAACUGUCAGGCUAGAGUGCAGGAGAGGAAGGUAGAAUUCCCGGUGUAGCGGUGAAAUGCGUAGAGAUCGGGAGGAAUACCAGUGGCGAAGGCGGCCUUCUGGACUGACACUGACGCUGAGGUGCGAAAGCGUGGGUAGCAAACAGGACUAGAUACCCCUGUAGUC